rnacentral:tRNA from 1 species
AAAGGGAGACCUAAUUCAGGUAGGAGACGAAAAAAAGUAGUCCCUACCAAGAAUCAAUCCCAAAAGGUCGGAGCGAGGCAAAAUUGGCUUUCAAACUAGGUUCUGGGUUCACAUAAGACCUGAAUCAGGAACAAGGGCUAUUAGCUCAGGUGGUUAGAGCGCACCCCUGAUAAGGGUGAGGUCCCUGGUUCGAGCCCAGGAUGGCCCACCUGCACAGGUGGCAAAAACAAAGAAAAGAAGCUCCGAAUCAGCACCUUAUCUUACUCAUAUAGUAAGAGAGAAUGCUGGCUCUGAGUUCAGAGUCCAGAGGAACCUUGAAAACUGCAUAGAGCUAGGUGAAAAAGCCAAAAAAGAAGACCGCAAG